GGGGGAAUAACGCAGACGAAAGCUGCGCUAAUACCGCAUACCGCCUGGAAGGGGAAGCGGGGGACCGUAAGACCUCGCGCGAUUAGAGCGGCCGAUGCCUGAUUAGCUUGUUGGUGGGGUAAAAGCCCACCAAGGCGACGAUCAGUAGCUGGUCUGAGAGGACGAUCAGCCACACUGGGACUGAGACACGGCCCAGACUCCUACGGGAGGCAGCAGUGGGGAAUUUUGGACAAUGGGCGCAAGCCUGAUCCAGCAAUGCCGCGUGCAGGAAGAAGGCCUUCGGGUUGUAAACUGCUUUUGUACGGAGCGAAACGGUUUAGGUUAAUACCCUGAGCUAAUGACGGUACCGUAAGAAUAAGCACCGGCUAACUACGUG
rnacentral:rRNA from 1 species